rnacentral:rRNA from 1 species
UACGUAGGGUGCGAGCGUUGUCCGGAAUUAUUGGGCGUAAAGAGCUCGUAGGCGGUGUGUCGCGUCGGCCGUGAAAACCUGCAGCUUAACUGUGGGCUUGCGGUCGAUACGGGCAUCACUGGAGUUCGGCAGGGGAGACUGGAAUUCCUGGUGUAGCGGUGAAAUGCGCAGAUAUCAGGAGGAACACCAAUGGCGAAGGCAGCUCGCUGGAACGGUACUGACGCUGAGGCGCGAAAGCGUGGGGAGCAAACAGG